UGGGGAAUAUUGGACAAUGGGCGGAAGCCUGCUCCAGCCAUGCCGCGUGUGUGAAGAAGGCCUUUUGGUUGUAAAGCACUUUAAGCGAGGAGGAGGCUACUUGGAUUAAUACUCUAGGAUAGUGGACGUUACUCGCAGAAUAAGCACCGGCUAACUCUGUGCCAGCAGCCGCGGUAAUACAGAGGGUGCGAGCGUUAAUCGGAUUUACUGGGCGUAAAGCGUGCGUAGGCGGCUUCUUAAGUCGGAUGUGAAAUCCCUGAGCUUAACUUAGGAAUUGCAUUCGAUACUGGGAAGCUAGAGUAUGGGAGAGGAUGGUAGAAUUCCAGGUGUAGCGGUGAAAUGCGUAGAGAUCUGGAGGAAUACCGAUGGCGAAGGCAGCCAUCUGGCCUAAUACUGACGCUGAGGUACGAAAGCAUGGGGAGCAAACAGG
rnacentral:rRNA from 1 species